GUGCUUGCUUGGGCAGCACUUAUACUAAAUCUGAGUGGUACAGAGAUUAGCGUGGCCCCCGUGCAAGCAUGAAUUUAUGAACCAUUCUGUAUUUUU
rnacentral:snRNA from 1 species